UACGGGAGGCAGCAGUGGGGAAUAUUGGGCAAUGGGGGGAACCCUGACCCAGCAACGCCGCGUGAGGGAAGAAGGUUUUCGGAUCGUAAACCUCUGUCCUUGGUGAAGAGGAAGAGACGGUAGUUCAGGAGGAAGCCCCGGCUAACUACGUGCCAGCAGCCGCGGUAAU
rnacentral:rRNA from 1 species